AAAAGGAUAAUAUUUAGUAAUUUUUCUAAUCUAAACAUUAUUGUGCUGUUCAAUAAUGAAAUGAAGUGAAACAAAAACAUAAUUUGAUACUAAACUUUAACGCAACAGUUAUAUAUCAUGCCUUAUAGGUAAAGAAAAUUAUUUACUAAUAAAAGACGGAAUUCAUAAGUAUUAUGUCCAUCAUUAGAUUCUUUUUAAUGACAGUUGGAACAUUAUCAUUUUGUGGCCACUACCACUCAUCCUCUAAGACCCUUCAUCCUCCUACAAAUUGGAGCAUCACCAGCCUCUAAAUUCAGAUUGAUCCAACUUCCACUGUAGCUGGCCAAAAAAAGUAGCCAGACUGGAUGGAUUCAUUCAGCAAGCAGCUUCGAUUUGCUCAGUUUGUCCAAUUUUCUUAACAGUCAGCUGUUAAGAAAAUUGGACAAGCUGAGUGGAUUGGAACUGCUUGCUGUCAUCAUAAAGGGGGGACACAAAGUGUGCUUAGUGUUGAAGUCACCUCCAACAAGCACCCUCAAGUGUAUCUGAUGACCUUCCUGAGACUGUCAAGAAAAUCGCUGUUGAAUGAUGGUGGACAAUAGACUGAGAUAGCUUCCCACAUCAUCAUUUGGGGUCUGAAUCUCCAUUGCUACAACAACUUUGACAGGUGAAAGGGAGGGACCCAAGUCUGAUGAUGAUGAUGAUUGCAGUGAAGCAAUUAUCAUCAUCAGACUUGGGUCUUUCCCCUUCACCUGUCAAAAUCUUUUGCAAAAAAUCUCCAUCUAUUGACAUCAUCCUGCUCCAGAACCCUACCUUACCACAAAUGAGGUAGGACCCUGGAACAGGAUAAUGUCAAUGUCCUUCUGAACAACUUCCACAUGCAACAAUGUGAGGACUGUUUAAUAUUUAUCCACAUUGAAUUGCAACAUUGCAGUUCUCUUACUGUGUAUGAAAAAUCAAUUAUCAAUCACUGUAAAUAGUCUGGGCUCUAAUGAUUUCAUGUUCCCUCUUAUAUGAGAGGCAAUUGACACUCACACACAAGUGGCUUUCCUUCAACUGCAAUUAAAACUGUUUGCUAGUUCUCAUGCAAUUAAUGUAGUGAGAACUCUUUACCCUCCUUAUAGGAGUGCUCUUUGGUGCACUUUGAGCACAUCUGGAUUGCUGACUUAGUCCUUGGCUAUAUAUUCAAAAGCAUAGCAUUUUUAACUUUGUAUCAGUCACUCAAAACUGAUACAAAAUUCUGGACUCAGUUUAACGAUCCAACUUGCAGACAACCUAUCUAAGCUGGUAAACUGUACGUGGAGACUAGGAGUUGCCUCUAGGAUCCAAUUUGUUAGUCCUCUUUUUCGUUUAAUGGGAACUUAACUGAGAGCUGACUAGGCUGAGACUGUAAAUGAUAUCACAAAAGUAGCACUGAUCCCAACUUUUUGGUAGUUGAAAUCAAGCUUACAUGUCAGUUUGCUAUAUCAUUACUGACAUUAAGGGUUGUCUGCUAUACAAAAGAAAUAAAAAUAAACAUGGUCAAAAACAUUUGUUUUGUGAAAUAAAAGAUUAUCUUCUUUCUAAUGCUGUACUGUUUUUAUUUUUAUUACUGGCAUCAAAAAGAAUCGGCUGAGGAUUUCAUUUUUGAGGAAACUUGCAUAUGACAGAAUCCCUUAAUGAUUUAGCCUAUUCUAUCUCAUGUUAGAGUUUAUUGAGAUUACUGGUCUUGGAAAAUUCAACUAGGACCCAAUUAUCAGAACUGAUCUGAUAUUUUUAACCCUAAUAUCUAACUUCAUAGGAUUAAUAUCUCACCUCAAAGCAGUUUUGAUCUUAUCUGAGGUAUCCUUUUUGUCCUUUAGCUAGAACAACAAAAUGUGGUCUCCCUUCGGGACAAGCGAAACCUUUGAUCAUGGUCAUCUUUGAUUUUGGUCAUCUUUGCCACACAAGGUGCAAGUUGUGCCUUGAUUUUGGCCAGAGCAGCUGCUACCUCAGCAUAACUGCAUUUUAUAGUCUUCCCUUUAUCCAUGAACUCUUUUGGUCUCAACUAUUUUCUACGUGUGGUUGUGUAGUGUGAGACUUAUUGCAGCUGGUCCAAAUGGUGCAGAGAAUAUUUAUCUCCACAUCUUGGAUGAUCAGCUGUGCUAUACUGCCAACGAUCAGCAUGAUCUCCAUCAUUCUUCUGCACUUUACUGUCACUGCAGCUGAGGAGCUCAACCAGUUUCUCUUUCAAGGGUUGAGGCUGUCUCAACUGCAGACUCCAGGCAAUUAAAGGUAGAAGAGGGCUCCACAACCUGGUCGGGCUGGGAGGAUGGCUUUUCCAAAGGAACAGCCACUUCAUUCCUACCUGAAUGGUAGGACCAAGCUCUGUUCUGUUCUUUGGUUUUGCUGGCUAACUUUAACCCAGCCUCUGGGUUCUCAUCUGAGGUUUUGAUCAAAUUGACAAUUGCUUGUUUUUCUGCAACUGAGAUAUCAGUCCUGACCUUUCUGUCUUGAACUGUCUCAGUGAAAGGCAGACAAUGGUCAAUUUUGGUCUUUCCCAGUGAAAGGUUCUGAGGCAGACUACUCCCCUCCUGUUUUUUCUUUGUUUCCUUGAGAUUGGGUCUGCAUCCUUGAUGACCUGGUCCUUUGGAUCCAAUUAGCAAGAUUGUGGAGAUAGAAAAUUCCAUCUCCCUGCCCACAGUAUCUUCAUAGGGUGUUGUAUUGAGACACAUCCCUGGACACAUCCCUGGGAUCAGCCAUACUUACAAUGAACAGAUCUUGUCCUUGGCAGAGACAAUACUUCUCUCCUGUCCCCUCUUGCUUAAUGGGCACACAUCUUUGGCUGAGGAGUGUUGUCCCCUCUUCAUAGGUGAUCCUACUACUUGUGUGGACCUCAUCUUUCUCUGUCUACCAUCUUUGGGAAAGUCCUCAUCUAAUAUCAUGCUGUACACUGUACAUGAAGCAGCAAUCCAACUCAUAAUCCUAAAGAAGAACUACACAUAGUUUAAUAGCUUUUAUCAUCCAUAAAACCUGGGAGAACUGAGAGAAAUAAAAACUUCACCUGAUUGUGAUUCUUCAAUCACUGGAUAAGAUCUAGAACUCCACCAUGUUGGUCAGUUCAAACAGUGAUGCCAUUCAUGCUUUCUAACUUUCCAUCAUACAUCUAUGCACACUGCAUACACCAAGGAUUAAAGCCCACAUGUUUUGCUUCUUACAACAUUACAGAAUGUGACGGUAGACUUAUUCUGAUCUCAGCCUACAGGAGUUCAAAGACCUUUGCUUAGAAGUUACAUGCUGACUAUGUGAAGCCAAGAAACAACUUCUCUAGGCAAUUUGGGGAUAAUAACAGUGUGAUGAAGCAUGUACUCUUGAGGAAGCAUAUGAGUACAUGCUGACCUAAUCAUUGCUGCAACAAACACCAUGGAAUUUGUUAGUCUUUCAAGACCACAAAGGUCACCAAAGUCCUAGGAUUCCCAUCAGCCCAAAAUUGGCCAUCCUUUCAGCAUGGAAUACACAUCUUAGGAUUUUGAACUCUUUUAGAUGGAUUCUAUAUUACACAAUGCAUAUGAUAGGCUUAUUCAAGUCCUGGCUUACAGGGACAUCUGUUUGCAUACACAAACUGCAACUGUGAGGACUACUUAAUUUCAUCCCCGACACCGUAACUGCACUAACUAGGCAAAAAGAUCUCAAGGGAACAAGCCUUUCCAUCUCAACAAGGUGAAUUCUCCUUGGAGAGAUGUAUGACAGGCUCAUUUUGUACGCUCUGACUUACCACAAAAGCAACCUCCAUGUUUCACCAAAGAAGAUAUUAUAUGAUACAAUGUCUGUGAGAUUGAAUUCUGCAUUUUAAUCAUAUCCUGGUCCAGACUAUGCUUAAUAGGUUCUAGAUUCCAAAUAAUGUUAAUGAGUAGAGCAAACCUGUGUAGCUGCCACACUGGGGAUCUGUCUGCUCUAUCCGUCCUCUGUGCAUGGUAUUGCAAAACAACUGGGAUUUUGUAACUGGGCUGUGGAUAUUGUAAAGCAACUGGGGGUUAAAAACCAUGAUGUAACUGCCUCCAUUCCAGAGGGAGGUGGUAGUGGCAGUUAUGUCAUUAUUGUCACCCUCUGGGAUGGAGACAGCAAACACAGACAAAACUUUUGGAAAACAGAGAGAAAACUUUGGAGAGUUUACAACUGUGAGUUCUCCCACAAGUAGAACUCCAAGAGAUCAGACAUUACUAUGACAAAUCAACAACUGGCCAAAAAGCUCAAACUUGAUCUAAGACAAAUAAUCACAAUUCAUAUGAUGGAAGAGCACUCAAUGUGUUUACCUUUCUUUGUCUCCAAGAGAAUGAGAAAUCUCCACUUCAUAUCCAAUGAAGCCUACAUGCAACCCAGAAGGAAACUGCCACAGGCUACCAUGGAGACAAUAUGGACUUAUGUCAUAAAUCAGCCAAACUUGGGUGUCUUGACAUGGCCCAAACAUCUUGGGUAACAGCCACAGAGUUUGUUACAUCUUCUAGUGGGAAGUUUUCUUCCCACCCUAUCUAAGAUGACUGUCUCUAUUUGCCUGAGAUCAAUCACCUCUUGGACUGGCAUCUAUCCCUCUGUCAUUCAUCCCUUCAGCAUAGUACACCACUCCACCUUGGGAUUUAAGACACUUAGAGAGUUUCUACUCCAUGUAGAGCAUAUGGUGAAACAAUUCUUAAUCUUGAAAUUGCAGGGACUUGGACAGUUGAUUGGCAAAGAGUAGAGUUCCCUCUUAGAGUAUAAGAGAGUGCAGCCUAUUCUUCCUGCACAAUGUAUGAAUUUCUUCAUGUGAGACAGCAUCUCUUUGCCUUGGGUGGUAACUGAUCUGGAAUCUCGCACUGCAGGACCACUACUGAAAGCCAAUUAAGGCCCAAGAAAAUAACAUAUUUCAUCUCAACACACUUCACAAUUAGGGCAGAGUGACCAAGCCCAACACUCCAUGUGCUGCCUCUGCACGUGCAUCAUAUGCUCCAUCUGCACAUGCAUCAGGCAGGUGCAGAGAUGUCUUGUUAAAAUGUUCUCUCUCUGAGAACUUAGUGUAUCCAAACACUAUGAACAUAGCAGCCUGGGGCUGCUGUAUAGACAGACAGUGCCUGCUGGCAUAAGCCCCCUCAUCAUGUCAAAUCAGGCCCUCCUUCAAAAUAGGUAUGACAUAGCAAUGGAAAGAAAUAUUGGAACAUUGGAACAGUAUUAAAGAACAUAUCUAAUAAUGACUUUAUAUGAAAUUACAAUUGGGAAUAUAUAUCAGGAAAAUGUAUUUAACAAAAAUGUUAAUUUGAAAAGCUCAAACAAACUUCCUGCAGCUUGGAAAUAAUUAAUUAGCCAC
rnacentral:lncRNA from 1 species